CUUCAAUGAGCUCCUGCUCAGCUACUUCUACUUGUUGAACCUCAGAAUCCACAGUGGCUUGCUCGUCUAUUCGCAUCAACACAAUACAUACAUAGUAUAGCCAAAAUCAACAUCACACCAAACAGAUGAAUAAAAUAUACAGUAAAAAUCUACACAUUAAAAUGAAAUCAUAGGAACUGGAAUCACUAAAUUUGGAGUUAUAGAAUUCAAGUUAUGAAUUUCCUAAGGUUUAAUGUGAUUAAAAUAGGAUUAAAUGUUUAAAUUAAUGUUCUUACUGUUUUUAUGCCAAAACAGAGAUACUAAAUGAUAGAGAAGAUUAUUACAAAAUUUUAGAAAUUGGAAUGGGGUAAUUUGGAGUUCAUAUGAGUUUUCUAUGGAAUAAACAAGUCCUAGGAGUUGUUUUUUAUUAAAAAUACAUUUCCUAAUUUAUUUAAUCUGAUUUUCCUUUCCCUGGAUUGCGCCCCAAUAUUCAGAAAGGUUAAGGGCUCAGGCGUAAGAAAACCCCAGACUCAGAGGGCUGCAGCAUUGGACGGCGGGUUGAUAAUACAAAACCCCAGGGUUUAUUUUACAAAUCCUGCAGCUGAAGGGGUACGGGAGGAUUGCAGCCGCUCGAUUAGAUUUAAAUGGCCCGGAUUAGAAAAUGAAGAGGUAUGCAUCCAGAGCCCUAGGAUUUGAGAUCAAUGCUCUGGAUUUUAAAACGCCAGGAACACCCCUCGCCCCUCCAUCCAUCGAUCAACGGCCAGGAUGGGCCAUGGCCGAAACACCAUCCUACACCUAUUCACGAUCGCACAAUCACGAUCCGACGGCCAUGGCUCUUCUCUCUCACCUUAAUCCCGAGACGGCGGCGCAUGGCCCUGACGCGGCGGAGCCAUGGCCGGCGCACUCCCAAAUUCGGCUCCAUCAAUCGAACUUCGAUCCGAAGGCAAUAUCACGCAAAGGAUAACGAUGCGAUACGAUGGGGAGGUUGCUCACCGUGAUUCCAAGAGUGCCCCGGGCCAUCCACGGGGAGCGGCGGAUCCCAGCGUUCGACGAUGAAUCCCGGCCGCCACAGGGUCAAUCCUUCCCUAUCCGGCCACGGGUGUUCCACCGGCCAGCACAUGAAGCUUCUGGACUCAUCGCAGACCCCCAAACGUCAGUCGUGGACGGGGACGAUGCUGACGGCGUCCCUGCUCUCAACUCUCUCUUCUGCUCAGGCGCUGGCGGCCGAGAAGUGCGUCGCGGGUGGAUUCGAUCGUGGAGGCCGCGCGGUCAGUGACAGGACGGAUCGAUUUGAGGUCCGUGAUGCCGGAGUUGGCCGCGGCGGUGGUUUAUUAUGGCCAUGGCGACCCGCACAGAGGGAUGAAGCCUCGGCUUCCGCACAAGAUAGGAGAGGGAAUACGCGGUGGGGAAAUCGUUUGGAGGAGAGCGAGAUGUGUGGACGCAUGUGGGCAUGCUCCCGAGUUCGCGGUCGAACCAGGUCAGCGCGAUCCGAUCCCCACGGGGAAGAAGAAGACCGCGCCAGCAAGGUGGGUCCCAUGAGCAGAGAAGGAGCUUCACGCCCAAUCCUACCACGACUGAGGAGCGGGCCCGCGCGGUCAGCGUGUAGUCGCCCGGUUAAUUUCGCGCCUGACGGAUCGGCCCACAAGCGGGUGAAGGCCGUAGCGCGCGCGUGUGUAGCAGAGAAAAUGAGGUGGGCCGGCGGGGAAAAGUAUGGAGAUGGGCCGGGAAGGAAGAAGGUUGGCCCAAGCGCAGGGAAUUUUUCCUUUUCCUUUUUUUUCUGCUUUCUUAUUUAUUCCUAAUUCAUUUGAAUUUGAAUUUUUAAUUCCACUUAAGUGCAAAUUCAAGUUGACGUUAACUAUGCAAUUUAGUCACACCAUCAUAUGGUGAAGUUAAAAUACAAGUUUUUAGAGAUAUAAUUAUAUCAUUUCUCUUCUUCUCAUCUUUUCUCAAUUCUUUAAUUUUCUUUAGAAUUUAAAUUCCACCUUGGAUUUUUAACAUAUUUCUUGUUACCUUAUCUUAUGUUGUCACAAAAUGCACACAAAAAUAAAACCCCAGCAUGAUGCAUAAUUUAUUUUUGGGUGUCUUUUGUUAUUUAUUUAUUUGUCUUCGUGUGAUGUUCUCAUGAAAUGAUAGAUAUAGAUAACAAACAUAUAUACAACAAAAUAUCAUUUCUCCUUUUAGGUUAUCCUCCACAAAUCACAAGUUGGGUAUUACAAAUCCUACCCCCCUUAACAAGAAUCUCGUCCUCGAGAUUUAGGAGGAACGAAGGAAAAGAUGGGGAAAAAUCUAUGUGAAGCUCUUCUUCUCUCUCCCAUGUAGCUUCAUCUUCUCCAUGGUGACUCCAUUGUACUUUGCACAUUUUUAUAAUCCUUAUUUCUUGUAACUCGAGCCAAAGUGUCAAGAAUCUUGAUAGGAUACUCCUUGUAAACCAAACCAUGAACACUGAGCCCUUCCAUUGGUAACUGUUCCUCAGGGUCAAGGAGACACUUCUUAAGUUGAGACAUAUGGAAAACAUUAUGCUCACCAAAUGGAUUAUCAGGUAGCUUGAGUUGAUAGGUCAUCUCUCCAACUUGCCUAAAAACUCAGAAUGAUCCAAUAUAGCAAGGGGACAAUUUUCCUUUGACUUUGAAUCUUCUCAUACCCCGGAGUGGUGACACCUUCAAAUAGACAUAAUCUCCCUCUUUAAACUCAAGCAGUCUUCUCCGGGUGUCAGCAUAACUUUUCUGCAUGGAUUGUGCAGUUCUCAAAUUCUCCCGAAUUAUACAGACUUGUUCUUCUGCCUCUUGAAUAAGUUCAGGUCCAAAGAACGGUCUUCCUCCAGUCUGGUCCAAAGAUAGAGGAGUUCUGCAUUUCCUGCCACAUAGAGCCUCGAACGGGGACAUCUUCAGCCUGGCCUGUUAACUAUCAUUAUAUGAAAACUUAGCAUAAGGUAGACUCUUGUCCCAACUACUACCAUGCUGAAGGGCACAAGCUCUCAACAUAUCUUCAAGCACUUGGUUGGUUCUCUCAGUCUGCCCAUCGGUCUGGGGAUGGUAAGCCGAACUAAAAUUCAAUCUCGUAUCCAUUGACUCGUGUAACUUCUUCCAAUACCGAGAGGUAAACUGCGAUCCCCGGUCUGAUACAAUCUCCUUUGGCACACCAUGCAGGCAGACAAUCCGUGUCAUGUACAACUCUGCCAACUUAGCUCCUGAAUAUGUGGUCUUCACUGGAAUAAAGUGGGCUACCUUAGUUAGCCUGUCCACAAUCACCCAUAUAGAAUCAUAUCCAGCAGACGUGCGGGGUAAUCCAACAAUGAAGUCCAUGCCGAUCUCUUCCCAUUUCCACUCAGGUAUCUUCAGUGGAUGCAGUAGUCCGGCUGGCCUCUGGUGUUCAGCCUUAACUCUUUGGCACACAUCGCACAUACCACAUGUGCAGCUACAUCUCUCUUCAAUCCAUACCACUAAUACUUCCGCUUCAAAUCCUGAUACAUCUUGGUACUGCCAGGAUGAAUAGAAUAAUCUGAAUCAUGGGCCUCCCUUAAAAUAGUCUCUCGAAGGCUUUCAAUAUCAGGAACACACAUCCUAUCCUUGAACCAUACGGUUCCUUGCUCAUCUUCCGUAAAUUCCGGACCUCGACCUUCAGUAAUCAGAUCCUUGAUCUCUUGUAUUUUAGCAUCACUAAUUUGACCUUUGCGGAUUUCUUGCUCCAAAGUAGGUUCCACAUCAAUAGUAACUCCUUUAGUGUGGGCAACUAUCCCCAGGUUAAGUAUCCUGAAAUCCUCAACAAUCUCAUCGGGUAGCUAGGCAACAAUAGCUGAAUGAACAUGCUCCUUGCAACUCAAGGCAUCUGCAACCAAAUUUGCCUUGCGUGGGUGAUAGUGAAUCUCCAAAUCAUAAUCCUUAAUAAGCUCCAUCCAACAGCGUUGCCUAAGGUUGAGAUCCUUCAGAGUAAAUAUAUACUUCAAACUCUUAUGAUCCGUGUACACUUGACACUUGGUUCCCAUAAUAUAAUGUCUCCAAAUCUUAAGCGCAUGCACUACGGUUGCCAGUUCUAAGUCAUGAGUGGGGUAGUUCAAUUCAUGUUUCCGUAACUGACGAGACGCAUAGGCGAUCACAUGUCCUUCUUGCAUGAGCACACAUCCCAAGCCUUGGCCACAUGCAUCACAAUAAAUAUCAAAUCCUUUCUGUAGGUCUGGCAUAACCAACACUGGUGGUGACAUUAAUCUCUUCUUUAAUUUAUCAAAGCUUUCUUGGCACUUCUCGUCCCACUUAAACUCUCUUCCCUUCUCUAGAAGUGAGGUCAUAGGCUUCGCAAUCUUAGAAAAUCCUUCAAUAAAUCUCCAAUAAUAUCCUGCAAGUCCCAAGAAACUCUGAAUCUCAGUGACGGUAGUGGGCACGCUCCAUUCCAUUAUCUCCUUCACUUUAGCAAGAUCCACUGCUAUUCCUCCAUUAGAAAUAAUAUGUCCAAGGAAUGGCACCUUGUCAAUCCAAAACUCGCACUUGCUAAACUUGGCAUAGAGUUGAUUAUCUCGUAGCUUCUGUAGCACCAAUCUCAGGUGUUCCUUUUGAUUGCUAUCACUCUUGGAAUAAAUAAAAAAAUAUUGUUGAUGAAAACCACGACGAAUCUGUCCAGAUCAUGAACACCCUAUUCUUCAUUACCAUAAAAUAAGCUAGUGCAUUAGUUAAUCCAAACGACAUAACCGUGAACUCAUAUAAUCCAUAUCGGGUCGAUAAAAUCGUCUUGGGAAUAUUCGAUGGACUAAUCUUCAUUUGGUGUUAACCCGGUCGGAGUUCAAUCUUCGAGAAUACCCUUGCACCUCUCAUCCGAUUAAAUAAAUCCUUAAUGCGGGGUAACAGAAACUUGUUCUUCACAGUAACAUCAUUAAGGGACCUUUAAUCCACGCACAUCACUUGCGAUCCAUCUUUCUUCUGUACAAAUAGAACUGGUGCUCCCCAAGGUGAGGAACUCAGACAAAUGUACCCCGCCUCUUGUAAUUCCGUUAAUUGCUUCUUAAGUUCUUUUAACUCUUCUACAGACAUCAUGUAUGGCCGUUUGAAAGUAGGGGCAGUUCUAGGUAAGGGAUCAAUGACAAACUCAACUUCCGUAUCUGGUGGCAUCCCUGGUAACUCCUCUGGAAAGACAUCCGGAAAAUCUAUAACCACACGGAUGUUGACACCAACAAACUUCCCAUCGACUAAGAAUGCCGCUAGUUUGGUGGCGGUAGUUACUGCAACUUCAACUUCAAACCUUUCUUCUUUGGGACUGGUGAGUUCUACGGUUCCUUUAGCAUAGUGUAUAAACUGUCUUUGCCUUUCUUAACCAUGACAUACCAAGGAUCACGUCUAUAGUGCUCUCUUCUAACACUAUAGGGGUAGCACAUCUGGGUUAGAAACAUAGGGUAAGAAAGGAAGAAUUGUAGACAAGGUGAGUAAUUACGAGAAAUGUUACUGCGGGGGAUUUAUUAGUUAAGUAGAUUAGUGUGUUAUCCACUAAAGCUAAUACAUUACCUUAUGGUGGAACAUGCUAAGAUGCCCAACUAUAAUGUUUCAAUCAAUCAAAGAAGCAAAUCAAGCAUUGAUCAUCAGCACAAUCAAACAACGUUUUUAAAUAUUGAAAAUAGUUUCGAUUUUUGUCUUAGGCUUCCUAUAUCUUAAAAGUUCAUAAGUGUAGGAUUCCAAGGUGUGAAAUCCAUCUUGUCUUAGAGUUGAAAAGAUAAGAGUAAUCAAAGAAUGACAGCAAAAGGUGAGACAGGAUCAACAUAAGGUAAGUAUAGAAUGAAUCAGAGUAAGGUAAGUAGGUAAGGGUUGUCCAUUUCUAUCUAGGUUUCGUCCUACAGUCAACAUUUCCUCUGAUACCACUUCUGUAACACCCGGCUUUAAGGGACAAAGCCAGGUGCAUCUCAUACAUGCGCCAUGAAGACAACAUAUACAAUAACAGAGUGUAUAGAGAUAAAUGUCAUAAUAACAUCAGAGUACUUAUUACAUAGCGGAAGACUUAUUACAAAAUAAAGGAAUAAAUGUAAAACGAACUAAGGAUCGUCGGCGCAAAUGUCGACUGAGAAACGCCACCUAGAUCAGAUCAUACUCCUCGCCUUGUGGCUCCUCCUGAACCACCUGUUCUUCUCCUGUGGGGGGGUGUGAGAUAGCAAGAGUGAGCUCACAUACGUUCAUCGCUCAACAAGUUGUGGGGAAUAAUGUGGCAUGAACUCACCAAAGGUGGGAGUUCAUGAAGUGUAAGGCUGACCAAUGAAAUAGAGGCUGAAGCUGAGCAUUGCUUUUAUAAGUUGGUCAAAAUUUUAUUAGCAAUUACUAAGUGUAAGUAAGUACCAAACCUUAAUAAUAAUAAAGAACAGUAAUAGUAAAGUAAUCCCAAAUGCGAUGCAAAUGUCAAAUUGAAUUUAAGUUCCAUAAUUAAUCAUGUGAGGGUCCGAGCCGCUCUUGACCGUGAGCACGGCUAGUAUACCAGUUUUACACUCUGCAGAGGUUGCGCAUCUUUACCCACAAGUCAUGUUACCCAUCUGCCAAGAGAUGGCCAAUCCCAUACACCUCUACCGAGGAGGCGAGGCAGGGUAACACUACGAGGCCUUUACAAAGUUCCACUAGCUUCAGAAAUCCCGCUACAGUUUAUAGGAAGCUCCAGUGCAGGGUUCUUGCCUGACCGCCAUCGCAGCAAAAUCAACCCAAGGACCUCCCUACACUGACCACUCCCCUACUGCCCUUGCCCCUUUCGGGUAAGGAAGACCUCCACUAGCUUUCCUAGUUAAUCAGCCAAGGGCGUCCCAUUAUACCCUUAUGGUAGCACUGUUUUCCCGGGUGGUCGCUCCAUGUUCCCAUUAACAUAAUGAUCUUAACAUGAACAGUAAUAAUAAAAGAGAAUAAAAGAGUAAUUAUGAAUAAAGUAUCUUCAUACCCAAAUCCACAUAAAGCAAUAGCAGGUACUACCCAAAGAAAUAUUUCAGUAGUGAACAAGGUAUAAAGAUAGCCAAAACUAGGAUAACCUAUUGGGUCCCAUCAAAAUUAUCCUAUGCAGAUCAUUAUAAUUAAUAAGAACAUGGCUGGGAAAAGUAAGUGAUCAAGGGCACAACUUGCCUUCAAUGAGCUCCUGCUCAGCUACUUCUACUUGUUGAACCUCAGAAUCCACAGUGGCUUGCUCGUCUAUUCGCAUCAACACAAUACAUACAUAGUAUAGCCAAAAUCAACAUCACACCAAACAGAUGAAUAAAAUAUACAGUAAAAAUCUACACAUUAAAAUGAAAUCAUAGGAACUGGAAUCACUAAAUUUGGAGUUAUAGAAUUCAAGUUAUGAAUUUCCUAAGGUUUAAUGUGAUUAAAAUAGGAUUAAAUGUUUAAAUUAAUGUUCUUACUGUUUUUAUGCCAAAACAGAGAUACUAAAUGAUAGAGAAGAUUAUUACAAAAUUUUAGAAAUUGGAAUGGGGUAAUUUGGAGUUCAUAUGAGUUUUCUAUGGAAUAAACAAGUCCUAGGAGUUGUUUUUUAUUAAAAAUACAUUUCCUAAUUUAUUUAAUCUGAUUUUCCUUUCCCUGGAUUGCGCCCCAAUAUUCAGAAAGGUUAAGGGCUCAGGCGUAAGAAAACCCCAGACUCAGAGGGCUGCAGCAUUGGACGGCGGGUUGAUAAUACAAAACCCCAGGGUUUAUUUUACAAAUCCUGCAGCUGAAGGGGUACGGGAGGAUUGCAGCCGCUCGAUUAGAUUUAAAUGGCCCGGAUUAGAAAAUGAAGAGGUAUGCAUCCAGAGCCCUAGGAUUUGAGAUCAAUGCUCUGGAUUUUAAAACGCCAGGAACACCCCUCGCCCCUCCAUCCAUCGAUCAACGGCCAGGAUGGGCCAUGGCCGAAACACCAUCCUACACCUAUUCACGAUCGCACAAUCACGAUCCGACGGCCAUGGCUCUUCUCUCUCACCUUAAUCCCGAGACGGCGGCGCAUGGCCCUGACGCGGCGGAGCCAUGGCCGGCGCACUCCCAAAUUCGGCUCCAGCAAUCGAACUUCGAUCCGAAGGCAAUAUCACGCAAAGGAUAACGAUGCGAUACGAUGGGGAGGUUGCUCACCGUGAUUCCAAGAGUGCCCCGGGCCAUCCACGGGGAGCGGCGGAUCCCAGCGUUCGACGAUGAAUCCCGGCCGCCACAGGGUCAAUCCUUCCCUAUCCGGCCACGGGUGUUCCACCGGCCAGCACAUGAAGCUUCUGGACUCAUCGCAGACCCCCAAACGUCAGUCGUGGACGGGGACGAUGCUGACGGCGUCCCUGCUCUCAACUCUCUCUUCUGCUCAGGCGCUGGCGGCCGAGAAGUGCGUCGCGGGUGGAUUCGAUCGUGGAGGCCGCGCGGUCAGUGACAGGACGGAUCGAUUUGAGGUCCGUGAUGCCGGAGUUGGCCGCGGCGGUGGUUUAUUAUGGCCAUGGCGACCCGCACAGAGGGAUGAAGCCU
rnacentral:lncRNA from 1 species